rnacentral:lncRNA from 1 species
UCCAUUAUAGAUAACCAAGAAAGAGAUUAAAAAUUUAGACUACAUCUUAGUUCAAUUGCAAUCUUAGAAAAAUAAAAUUAGCUACUCAUAAUUGCAAAGACAAAUAACAUUCUAUAAAUUUCAACCACUAAGAGUAACAAGAAAAAUAAAAAAUAAGGAAGAAAACAAAACGAUUGAUUGCAGCUUGUUUUCUGAGUUUCUACCUCAACUUUCAACCUCUUGAAUCUCCAAAAAUUGUCUAACCUAAUUUGUCACGACCCGAAACUCCCAUCGAGCCCGUGACAAUCGCAGCGAUGUCCCGAUAAACAUUCAUUACCUAGAAUGGCAACCGAAACCUCGCAAGGCUUUACAUCAAUUUUCUCGCUUCCCCUGUGAGUAUUAGUUACUAAAAUCAUGUUUUAAAGUGAUAUGAACCAAUUUCAAGUCAAAAACAAUUAAAGAGAAAUUACAACUACAAAGGGGUAUUUUGGUCAUUUUUCCUCAAGAAUCUCGAAACUAGAUAAAAAUGUAGUAUGCGAGUGGAAAACACAUAUUUCAUAAUCAAAAAUAAGUUUAGAUAUCUAAAACAUUCAUUUAAAGUGAAAUUAUAAUUAUUUGAAUAUAAUAAAAAUAUUCAAAAAAAUAUUCUAUUUUCUUAUAAAACAAUAUUUAUAGAGUUACCGGUACAUAAUUUUUAUAGCGUAAAAGCUAAAUAAAUUCAUACAUACUGCAAUACAGAUAACCAAAGAAUAAGAUUUAAUUUAUAGUGACACGUGGGCCCACAAAUGACCAAAAGUAUCAAAAGCGGUAAACCUACAGUUUUUAAGGAUGUAAGUGCAACUGUAGCCUUCAACGAAAUGAGCUAUCUACCAACUAUCCUGAGUCUGAAAUGGGUGGAAAAGAGGGUGGUGAGAUUAUAUAAUCCCAGUGAGUAAACAAAUACCAUCUAAAAUAUCUAAAAUUGAGUAAAUAGAGACAGAUUAAAAUAGAUCAUCAUACUAUAAUUCAUCAUCUUUCAACUUAUUCAACCAAAUAAAAUCAAUUCAUAUAAAUCGAGUAAUCAACAUGGCUUAUGAAUUUCUUAAAACUUUGGCUCGUGCCAAAAUCAUUCUCAUACUCAGUUAUCAGGGAUACCUUGGCCGAGGGCUAUCCUAAUCGAGUCCGCCAAGGCUGUUAAAAAGUUAUGUACACAUAAAUCAUGUUUUUAUUUUGAAAACAUAGCCGUUCCUUGGAGUUGGCUGAGUUCACCCUCACGUGGUGGUUUGGCGUGAAGUGAACUCUAAAGUUUUAACCUCAGGAGUUAUCCAACCACGCCUCUCAUACUAAGGUAUGAAUAUAAUAGGGUUACCGUGCCCUUCUAAUAGGCUGAUCCACGGAACUCGUCCACUGAAGCGACCAAUUCAUAACCCACCAAUUCAAUAAAAUUCAACAGCAUGACAUGGCAAUUAUUUUAUUUUACAGCCUCUCAAGGCAAAUCAACAGUUCAUACUUUUUCAGCAUAUUUACCAAAUCCAGCCACUCAUGCCCACAUUAUCAUAAGCCAUUCAAUUCAAACCAUAAUUUACAACAUAGCAAUUAGUCUCCAAUUACUCCAUUUUCAAAACCAUCAUUUAAUUUCAAGACAAUUUUAUAAAAUCAUUUCAUUUAAUCACAUUUUGCGUAUAAAACAUAAAGAUUUACCAUUUAAACUCAUUUUUCAUAAAAUCACAAAAACGAAUUAAAAUUCACUUCAGAUAAUCAAGAUGAUGAUAAGGUUACUCACUAUUUCGGGAGUCGAAUUUCGAGUACUCCGAUUCUUGAUCCUCGGGUACUAUCUCUUUACUUUUGCCAGAAUGCUCACCACUUAGACAUAAUGCACAAUAGGCCAUUUACUACAUUUGUGCUAAAUUCUUAUAAAACCAAUUCAGGCUCUAUACUAAUGCAUGAAAUGGGAUGUGAAAUACUCGGGUAACUAUCUAAAUACGGUGUUCAAUAUAAAUUGAAUUAUAUACCUAAAUAAAACGGUAUUGGCCUAAUUCGAUCUAUCACCCGAUUAAUUGGCCAAUACGUCCAAUUCAACUCCAAAUAAUUUUAUUUUUCUUCCGAUACUCCAAAUCAUCAAACACAAAUUAAAUAACUUGAAAUAUGGCAAAAUCAUCCUCACAUUUUCUCUUGAAAAAUUCGGCCAUGGUGGGUGCAUCAACACUAUAAUUUUUCAAGCUUGAUUCUUACACCAUAAAUCACUAAUUCCUAAC